AUGAACGCUGGCGGCGUGCCUAAUACAUGCAAGUCGAGCGCACGGGCGAGAAGCUUGCUUCUCUGAUGUUAGCGGCGGACGGGUGAGUAACACGUGGAUAACCUACCUAUAAGACUGGGAUAACUUCGGGAAACCGGAGCUAAUGCCGGAUGAUAUUUUGAACCGCAUGGUUCAAAAGUGAAAGACGGUCUUGCUGUCACUUAUAGAUGGAUCCGCGCUGCAUUAGCUAGUUGGUAAGGUAACGGCUUACCAAGGCAACGAUGCAUAGCCGACCUGAGAGGGUGAUCGGCCACACUGGAACUGAGACACGGUCCAGACUCCUACGGGAGGCAGCAGUAGGGAAUCUUCCGCAAUGGGCGAAAGCCUGACGGAGCAACGCCGCGUGAGUGAUGAAGGUCUUCGGAUCGUAAAACUCUGUUAUUAGGGAAGAACAUAUGUGUAAGUAACUGUGCACAUCUUGACGGUACCUAAUCAGAAAGCCACGGCUAACUACGUG
rnacentral:rRNA from 1 species